AUUGAACGCUGGCGGCAUGCUUUACACAUGCAAGUCGAACGGUAACAGGUUAAGCUGACGAGUGGCGAACGGGUGAGUAAUGCAUCGGAACGUGCCCGGUCGUGGGGGAUAACGCAGCGAAAGCUGCGCUAAUACCGCAUACGAUCUGAGGAUGAAAGCGGGGGACCGUAAGGCCUCGCGCGAUCGGAGCGGCCGAUGUCAGAUUAGGUAGUUGGUGGGGUAAAGGCUCACCAAGCCGACGAUCUGUAGCUGGUCUGAGAGGACGACCAGCCACACUGGGACUGAGACACGGCCCAGACUCCUACGGGAGGCAGCAGUGGGGAAUUUUGGACAAUGGGCGCAAGCCUGAUCCAGCCAUGCCGCGUGAGUGAAGAAGGCCUCGGUGUAAGCUCUUCGUGGGAGAAUAGCACAGGAUAAUACCUUAGUGUAGAUGACGGUACCGC
rnacentral:rRNA from 1 species